UUAAUUAUGAAAAAUGUAGGACCUACAAUGCCUAUUUAUAUUCUCUAUUCCUAAUACCACCUGUAGAUGGCGCCAUAGCUUUUGGACAUUCUUGGGUUUCUCUGCAGCUAAAGAAUGGACUUCAACAAUUUAUUUAUUUAUUUUUGUGUGUAAAUUGAUGCAAACCUAGGAUGACAAUGUUAUACAUGUAUACACGGAAAAACAUAAAAUAAAAAAUAUUUGGAAGAUUUAUGACGUUGAUGACCGUUGAAACGCACGUCAUCACGUCAGGCCAGCUGUGAGGGAGGGAAGUCGAAGCAGGUCGAGAAAGUUGGCGCUUUUAUCAGAUCGUUUGUUUGGAGUCUCUGUUUGUUCCAGCCAUUGUGUUCCUUCAUGCUCCUCCAGAGACUACUAUCCGGAUUGUCCGUGCCAGUGUUGUGACUCUUGCAUCUUUCACCGUGUGAUGUUGUCCGGGGCCCGAGGAGUUCUUACAAACAGAUUGAUGGCAACAAUGUACAUGGAUGGUUCAGGGGUGAAGAAGGCCUUUAAAAAACACGGCUAUGUUGUGUUAUAAUAGGUGGCAAUUGCAUCAGAGGGAGAAGACUUCACAGUGCCUCCCUAUACAUGGAUGUCAGCUGACGUCAAUCACUUGUCUUCCGCCAUUUUGAGGACCUGAAGUGGUCGCAAAAGAACUAGAAGCUAUGCCUUCAAUAUGCUGUGAGCAUCAAAAUCGCUAUUUUAACAACACUAAGAAGGCUCAACACAACAUGAUAUUUUGCUCGAAGUAUCGCCUAUGUCUCUACACGUGAACUCGAGCAUUGAGAACAUUGUUUGUGAACACAGAGUUAACUAAAAAGAAGGUUUUGAACAACUCACUUUGGAUGAUUUGGCGUCCGCUCGCCGCUUUCUUCCCAGUCAAGAUGUAUCGAUCUCCAAUUGCGACGUAAGGAGGGAGGAGAGUAAAGAUGAUAUCUCCUAAAGCAUAGUUCCUUAAAAAUGCACGGAUAAGUCGUUGUUUUGUUGCAAGUGAAAAACAAUAAUGACCUUCUAGUUGAAAAAGGAGCCUUAUAUGAGAUUCAUUCAUUCGCAUUCGGAAAUCGAUUAUUUACGUCUGGCAGAGAUGACGAGCGGACACCAUAACAGCCAAAGUCAGUUGUACAAAACCUUUCUUUUUAGUAAACUCUGUGUACAAAAACAAUGUUCUCAAUGCCCGCGUUCAUGUGUAGAGAUCCAGGUGAUACUUCGAGCAAAGUUUCAUGUUGUGUCGCGCCUUCUUAUGUUGUAAAAUAGUGGUAGUUCGGUAGCAGCGGACAGCGGCUGGAAGAACGCAUCAGGGAUCGAGAAGGCAUAACACCCUAACCAAGAUAUAUUUUUUUAAAGUAGCGUUUAUUUUCAUGACAGUCAAGAUGCGACAUGUUGUCUUUCGUAGCUUUUUACUGUAUCCAUAAGAAUCAUAGACAGUAAAAGAUAAGAAAUCCGUAAGUCGUAGCAAGGUAGCCAAUGCUUGUCAAUAGCCUACUGGUACUCGGUAGGUCCUCAAGAUGGCGGCAUGACGUAAAAGGUCACAUGACUGAAAUCUAUCUAUACUGCAGGGACAACCUUGCAGUCAUAUGCAAAGGAUUUGCUGAAAUUUCUUUCAUCCUGCCCCCAGCUGAAAUCGAAAAUUGAAAAAAUGAAGGCAGGAAACAAGCGGUUGCCUAUAAAAAAACAAAUUUAGGGGUUAAUUAUUUUCAAAUAAUUAAAUUGAUGUUCUUUUGUUAAAUUGUUCAUUCAUCGUUAGUUGUUUUGACAGUUUCUUGUUAUUCUUUUAAAAUUGUUAGUAUUUAAUAUGUUAUAGUUUGGAUAAAUAUUUUUGUUUUAAAUAAACUUGUUUUGGGUUAAAUUAAGGUGUUUCUACUAUGCUUUUAAAUUUGUAAUUUAGUUUUUUGUUGAUAACUUUGGCUGAAAUUAGGUUUAUCUACACCAGUACUCUAGUAUUGAAUUUACCCUAUAACUACACAGAACAAGGGGGUAACAAGUGCCACUUUAAUUUACAGCCCGCAGAUGUCGUACUUACUCUGUAACUACGUGAAACAAAGGUGUAACAAGUGCCACUUUAAUUUACAGCCCGCAGUUGUCAUACUUACUCUGUAACUACGUGAAACAAAGGUGUAACAAGUGGCACUUUAAUUUACAGCC